rnacentral:lncRNA from 1 species
GGUUUUCAUCCAGGUGCGUAUGUUUUCCUUUUUGUUUCCUAUUUUUUCUUUUUUCCUUAUUUUAUCUUCUUUUCUUUUUCUUUAUUAUUUUUUCCCUCUCAUUCGCUGUUGUCUAGUUUUCUUUUUUUUCUUUUUCUUUAUGUUUCUUUUCCUUUUUUCUUGGUAUUUUUAUUUUCUUUAUUUUUUUGUUUCUGUUCUUUUUUUUUCUUAUUUUCUUUUUAUAGCUUCAAUUUGAUUUUACUUUUACUUUUUUUGUUUAUCUUAUUUUUAUUUUACUAUGUUUAUUUUAUCUUUAUUUUUUACUUUUUUAUUUUCUUUAUUUAUUUUUCUAUUCCUUUUUCUGCUUCAAUUUAUUUAUUUUGUUUUAUUUUCUUAUUACUUUCUAUUUCCUUUCUUCAUUAUUAUUUUUUUGUUUUAUUUACCAACACAUUAAUAUAGCGUUAGUUAUGAAGGUAUUUAUUGGAUCGUUUUUUUGCGGUAUGCAUGCGGUGGAAGCACAACAAAUGCCUCUGGAUGAUCCUGUUGGGUAGUAGUUGUUCAAUCCUUUUAGUAGACUGAUAUUUGUUACAUAUAGAAAAAAACUAAAAAAUCUACAUACAAGCGCGUGGAUCGAUAUUAUUUUUUGUAUUUAUUUCAUUCAAUUUAUUAUUAUUAUUCUUUAUUUAUACUAUAUUUAGCCCUUGUGUCUCCACAAACUGUUGUUGCCGUCUCGCGACCGUCGUCCACGGGCGAUGGGCUAACCUAUGUUUUUCGGCGUAUGGGCGAAGUGCCAUUUUCUUUUUUUGGUUUUUCUUUUCUUUUUGUGCUUCAUUUAUUUUUUCUUUUUAUUUCCUUUUUGUGCUUAAUUUAUUUUUUAUUUUUUUUGUUUUAUGUGUUUUUAUUAUUCUUUUCAUUUUUUAAAUUGUUUAUCUUUAUUUUUUCUUUUGCUUUUUAUUUUCUUUCCUUUCCUUUUCUUAUUAUUUUUCUUUCCUUGCUUCAAUUUAUUAUUUUUGUUUCAUGUGAUUUUUUUUAUGUUUUCAUAUUUCUUUUUUUGUUUACUUCAUUUAAUUUUGUUUUUAUGUUUAUUCUUUUUUCUCUCUUUUUCUUUUUCUCUUUUUACUUAAUGUUUUCUAUAGUUUUUCCUUUUCAUUUAUUUUAUAUUUUCAUGCUUCACUAUUUUUUUGUUUUAUGUUUUUUAAUACUCUUUUAACUUUUUAUAUUUUAUGUUUCUUUUAUUUUUUUUAUUUUCUUAUUAUUUUGAUGCUCGCAUGUUGUGCAUGUAAUGUUCUUUGUUUCUUUACUAAUAAUUAUAAACGAGAUGUUCUAUGGUGUUUUUUAUGUUCACAUACUAAACAUAUAAUACUGUGGUAUGUAUUUAGUGAUAUUCACGUAAUAUAUAUGCGAUGUUCUAUAUUGUAUUUAGUAAUGUUCUAUGAUAUAUCUAGUGAUGUUCACUUAAUAUAUAUGCGAUGUUCUUAUUGUAUUUAGUAAUGUUCUAUGAUAUAUCUAGUGAUGUUCACUUAAUAUACAUUUUAUUUUCUAUGAUGUAUUUAGUAAUGUUCACAUAAUAUAUGUGAUGUUCUAUAUUUUAUUUAGUAAUGUUCUAUGAUAUAUUUAGUGAUGUUCACUUACUACACAUAUGUUGUUAUGUGAUGUAUUUUAUUAGUGUUCACAUAAUAUAUAUGUGAUGUUCUAUAAUGCAUUAAAUGAUGUUCUAUGGUAUUUCUAACAAUGUUCGUUUAGUAUACAUGUGGUGUUCUAUAGCAUAUUUUUAGAAUGUUUAAAAAGCAUCUAUGUGAUAUUCUUUUAAUUUUUUUCUAUAACAUGUUUUAUUUUUUUGUCUUAUGUUUUUGCUCUACAUUUUAUUAUUUUUAUUUAUGUUAUUAUAUAUUUAUUUUUAUGUAUAUUAUAAUACCAGUUUUAUGAACGAACACUCUUCUUACAAAGAUAGAACAUUAUUUUUUUGAACUUAGAACAUCAUUUCUGAUAAAUAAAUAAAAAUGUUCUAUCUUUAUAAAAUAAAUGUUCGUUAAAAAAAGUUAUCUAAAUAUAUUCAUGUGAGAUCUUGUUUUGAAGGAUUUAUUGUAAGGAACUCGAUGGUAAAAUCGAAAUUUAAUUUUAAUAUUUGGUUUAGUAGUUAUGACUUUUUUUUUGUUUCGUUAAAAAUCACGUGCAUGAGCUGAAGGCUGAAUUGAUUGUGGUGGGCCAGCUAGAUAUGACAACUUUAGCUUUAUGCAUGCUACCUCUGUCUACCGUAGGCUACCUCUGCCAGCUGCUAAUUAAAUUUGCAUGUGAUACAAGGGGCGGGAAAAAUAGGCGGGAAGCUGCCGGACGGUGGCCCCGGUCCGAAUGGGCGGACUGUAGCAGCCCCCGUCCGUCCGUGGCAGGGUACGUGACGGCACUCUCGCUUUCUAGUUAGCCCACGCGCGCCGCCGGUUGCCAGUGGCCUGCACGCAUACGUCGGCCGAUUGGCGAUUGCCGUGGCGGUGUGGCAUGAUCCAGGUCUCCGCGUGUGGUUCUGCCUCGAUCGGCUUCGCCACACAUGCUAGGCAGUUGGCAGGGCAAAAAAGGUAAGAAACACUAAUUAUAAUUGAAGGUAUGUAGAAACAAAAAAAAUGUUUCUUAGGAAAAACUAAACAAAGACUAUUUUUUUUUUUCAAGAAACUACGUACAUCCCAAUUCCCUAUCAAACAAGAACUAAUUAGAAUGAAGGCACAGGAAGGUUGAUGCAAAUGGGGAAAACUGUGAAUAUGGAAAAAAACAUGUAGAAUUGUUGGUAAUUAAAUUUAUCAUGACUCAAUACACAAACUAUUUAGUCGUUCUUGUUUGAUAGGG